rnacentral:snoRNA from 1 species
GCUCUCCCCUGAUGACUUGCACUGGGCUCUGAAUCUGGAUGGAGACGAAGUGCAUCUUUGGUUCUGACAAGCCAAAGUUUCUGAGGAGAAA